GAUGAAGAACGCAGCGAAAUGCGAUAAGUAGUGUGAAUUGCAGAAUUCAGUGAAUCAUCGAAUCUUUGAACGCACAUUGCGCCCUUUGGUAUUCCUUAGGGCAUGCCUGUUCGAGCGUCAUUUAAACCUUCAAGCUCAGCUUGGUGUUGGGUGACUGUCCGCUUCACCGCGGACUCGCCUCAAAAUUAUUGGCGGCCGGUACAUUGGCUUCGAGCGCAGCAGAAACGCGAACUCGGGCCCGUCGUAUUGGCUCCCAGAAGCUAUCUUCACAAUUUUGACCUCGGAUCAGGUAGGGAUACCCGCUGAACUUAAGCAUAUCAAUACGGAGGA
rnacentral:misc_RNA from 1 species